UAGGGAAUUUUUCACAAUGAGCGAAAGCUUGAUGGAGCAAUGCCGCGUGAACGAUGAAGGUCUUUAAGAUUGUAAAGUUCUUUUAUUUGGGAAGAAUGACUUUAGCAGGUAAUGGCUAGAGUUUGACUGUACCAUUUUGAAUAAGUGACGACUAACUAUGUGCCAGCAGUCGCGGUAAUACAUAGGUCGCAAGCGUUAUCCGGAUUUAUUGGGCGUAAAGCAAGCGCAGGCGGAUUGAAAAGUCUGGUGUUAAAGGCAGCUGCUUAACAGUUGUAUGUAUUGGAAACUAUUAAUCUAGAGUGUGGUAGGGAGUUUUGGAAUUUCAUGUGGAGCGGUGAAAUGCGUAGAUAUAUGAAGGAACACCAGUGGCGAAGGCGAAAACUUAGGCCAUUACUGACGCUUAGGCUUGAAAGUGUGGGGAGCAAAUAGGAUUAGAUACCCUAGUAGUCCACACCGUAAACGAUAGAUACUAGCUGUCGGGGCGAUCCCCUCGGUAGUGAAGUUAACACAUUAAGUAUCUCGCCUGGGUAGUACAUUCGCAAGAAUG
rnacentral:rRNA from 1 species